rnacentral:lncRNA from 1 species
CUGGAGGUGAAGGACGCGGGCUCCCCACGCUCCCCCGAGUGAUGGUGCAGAGGCGUACUCCCUCUCGGGGUCCCCACUCCACAUUCCGGCGUCCUCGGAACAGCCGGCACAGGCAGGGCGGGCGUCAGCUGUCCGGUCGCACCUCCCUGCAGGGGCAUUCCUUGGCCUGCUGCUGCCUGCCAGGCUGACCCAGGCGCAGGCGCUCAGGUAAAGGCAGUGGCCAGCCCAAGCUGCCGACCCAGCCGCUCCUCCCAGCAGAGGCCAGGUGAGGAGGCGAGGAUGGUGGGGGUCGCCCAGGGAGAAAAAUCUCAUCCGACAAGGAAAGCCUGGUGACCCCCUGUCUGCCUGGGCAGAACUCCCCUCCCAGGAAUGAGCUUUGGACAACGUGGUUCCUCCCGUUGAAUCAGGUUCUGACCGAGUCCGCUGCAGCUGCAGGCGGGGGCGCCCUGCCGAGCAGAUACCCAGCGGAGCUCCGGGGCCCCGUUUCUACUGUAAGCAGCUGGGGGCCAAAUGUGCGCCCGGGCACGUCUCUUGGCCUCUCCCAGACUCGGCACCCUCAUCUGUAAGAACGUGAACGAUGUCCGCCCUGGACAGGACUGCGGUCGCGAGAGGUGCCCGGGCCAGGCAAGGGACACAGCGCGGAUCUGCUGGUUUCCCCCUUGAUUCCAUGCGUGGGCGUGAAGCGUAUUCUUGGGAGUCAGGCACAAAUGUGACUUAGUAAGGAAGGGUGAGCGUUGCUGGGAUGGGUGGGGAAAAAUGUUUUCUGCAUCACGGGGCCAGCUGGAGCGGGGAGUGGCCACCGCAGGAUUCCUGGGUGCAGCUGAGACAGCUGGGGCGGGGCGUGCUGGGCUCACACUGAGUUCAACUCUCCAAAUAGCCCUCGCGCCACUGUCCAGAACAGACGAUAAGAAUUUCACAGGACUUUCGUCUGGAAGUUUGCGGUUGACAAUGCGUUUUUACCUACAUGAUCACAGUAACUUUCCCAGCAAGGCUGUUAGCUAAAGAAGGUGCCCUCCCCGCCCUGGAGCCUGAGAGAGGACGAGCUGCAGCCUUGUCCAAGAGAAAGGCCCGGGGGACCCAGCCAUCCACCUCCCUGCCCACCACCACCCUUCCUUCCAAGGAGCACGCAAGACCAAGCCUAGGACUCGCUACAAAGCUCGGUUCCUAACUAGACCGGCGGGGACUGACUAGGAAUGGAAUCCAGGCAAACACCUGGCCGAUCAUAAUCAGAUGUUACUAAAUAUUCAUAAGGAUUACAAUCAGCACCUAGCACAGUGUCUGGGACAUGGCAAGUGCUCAAUAUUUAUGGAAGAAAAGAGUGAAUAAAUCAAGAAAUCGUCAUUAAACACCAAAAUUGUGUUUAACAGAACCAAACAGCGCCACGCACUUGUGACCCUGACCUGAAGCUUCUGGUCGAGAAGGCCCUUGAACUCCCAGGCCCUCCCUGUAAGCAGGUUGGGCAGUGCAGAGGGCACAGGGCACAGGGCGGAGCCACAGGGAAAGAUGAGCAGGGUGCUACCCACAGGAAGGUGCCCUCCCGAUCCCCCCACAGCCUCUGCCCCCUGUAAACACAGUGGCCUGUCUUCUCUGGGCCUCUUCCCUUUUCUCUGCAUCCUGCCCUCUAUUUUCUUCUCACUAACACAGAAUGGAACAUUUAUUUUGUUUGUUACAUGAUCUUGGUAAAUACUUGUUUGAUUGUAAAUAAAAGGUGAAUGAGUAUAUCCUUCUCUAUCCCAAAAAUCCCACACAAAACAACAACCUUCCAAAUCAAAUAAUCACUUAGAUCAAUAUUUUACUUAAUGUGACCUUUACUUUUAAUAGCCCAGUGGCCCUCAACAAAACAGUUUCAGAACUGUCUCCUACAGCUUCAGGACUAUUGGUGCAGGUAUGUGGUGUGCAUGCCGCCAAACAUGUGACAUGCCUGCCGCGUGCAGGACAGCAACAGGACGAGACUUACACACAGCACACAGCUACCCGACAGCCCCAUACGGUUACAGUUACAUCCCCCAGGUUCCCGUGUGGCAGAGCCCAAGUUAAGCCACAGAGCUGUGAGACGCGCUCAUCCCAGCCACCCCUCUAUUAGCAGGAGGGUUCUGUGCUCUGACAACCGCAAGGGCUAGACACUACGGAGUCACAUUGAAGGGGACGGAGAAUACUGCAAAUGAAACCGUCAAGACAGUCCCUGGAAGAAGGGUGUGAGCAAUACGGCCUGCAGAGCAUAGAGCUGUAUCUGUGUUAUCUUUGGUUACUCUUCAGUGUUCUCCAAUGUUUGUGAAGCUUGUCUAUUACUCCCCUUCCCCCUUUACAAAAUCGCACCACUGUACUCCAUCCUGGGCGACAGAGCGAGACUCUGCCUCUAAAAAAAAAAAAAAAAAAUUGUGGUUAAGGACCGGGCAUGGUGGCUCACGUCUGUAAUCCCAGCACUUUGGGACACCGAGGCGGGCGGAUCACGAGGUCAGGAGUUUGACACCAUGCAUGGUGGCAUGCACCUAUAAUCCCAGCUACUCAGGAGGCUGAGGCAAGAGAAUGGCUUGAACCCAGGAGAUGGAGGUUGUAGUGAGCUGAGAUCGCGCUGCUGCACUCCAGCCUGGGCAACAGAGUGAGACUCUGACUCAAAAAAAAAAAAAAAAAAAAUUCUGGUUAAAAAAACAUAUCAGGCCGGGCGCGGUGGCUCACACCUGUAAUCCCAGCACUUUGGGAGGCCGAGGCGGGUGGAUCACAAGGUCAGGAGUUUGAGACCAGCCUGACCAACAUGGUGAAACCCUGUCUCUACUAAAAAUACAAAAAUUAGUUGGGUAUGGUGGUGCGUGCCUGUAAUCCCAGCUACUCAGGAGGCUGAGGCAGGAGAAUUACUUAAACUCAGGUGGUGGAGGUUGCAGUGAGCUGAGAUGGUGCCAUUGCACUCCAGCCCGGGCGACAGAGCGAGACUCCACCUCAAAAAAAA